CAGCUGUCAGUUUUGUACUAAAAGUUAGAGAAACGAGCAUGAGACCGGAGGUUUGCCGGUUCAAUCCACGGACUGGCAGGAUAAGUCUGGGUGGGGAAAGUGAAAAGCAACACUUGCCCCUCCCUCAUUACCACCACUGAGGUGCCCUUGAGCAAGGCACUUAACCCCAACCGCUCCAGUGGAGCUGCCAGCAGAUCACACUGUGAACUUCCAGGUGUGAAUGUGAUCAGGGCGUUCCUGAAGAAGAGAGCAUUGCUCUCAGUGAACCUCCCCCUGAAUAAAUAAAGGUAAAAAAAAAAAAAAA